rnacentral:misc_RNA from 1 species
AAUGUUCCUCUUGGUGAUGUUGUCAAGUCAAGACUAAAGCAAUUUUCAAUGAUGAACAGAUUCAAAAGAAAAGCCCUUAGGGUUAUUGCUGAUUUCUUGUCCAUUGAGGAAGUUGAAGACAUGAAAGAGAUGUUCAGGAAGAUGGAUACUGAUAAUGAUGGUAUUGUUUCAAUUGAAGAAUUGAAAGCUGGACUCCAAAAUUUUAACUCCCAGCUUGCAGAGUCUGAAGUUCAAAUGCUUAUUGAAUCUGUAAAUACUAAUGGGAAGGGUACAUUAGAUUAUGAGGAAUUUGUUGCUGUUUCCCUUCAUCUGCAAAGAAUGGCUAAUGAUGAGCAUCUUCGCAAGGCAUUUUCCUACUUUGACAAGGAUGGCAAUGGUUAUAUUGAACCAGAUGAGCUCCGAGAUGCCUUGAUGGAAGACGGUGCAGAUGAUUGUACAAGUGUAGCAAAUGACAUUUUCCAAGAGGUUGAUACAGACAAGGAUGGGAAGAUCAGCUAUGAUGAAUUUGUUGCAAUGAUGAAAACUGGGACAGAUUGGAGGAAGGCUUCCCGUCAUUAUUCCAGGGGGAGAUUUAACAGUCUAAGCAUCAAGUUGAUGAAGGAUGGCUCACUAAACUUGGGGAGUGAGUGAGGUAUAGACACAAGGUAUCACUUUUAAUUAAUCCAAGAAAGAAAGUUUAGGGUCAUUACUGUCCAUCCUAGGCGUGCCUUCUUCUGUGAUUAUUUUCUGGAGCCAUCUUGAUCAAGUGGGGCUCUUUUGCUUGGGAGCUUAGGACGUUAUGGAGGCUGAUUGCAUCCUCUCUCUCUCUCUCUCUUUCUCGCUUUCAGCAAAUGUUGAUUAUGUAAAAAUAGUGCUUCUGUAGUCUUGGUCCAGGAUAUAUGAUUCUGUCCAUUUAUCACUUCAACCUCUUGAUAAUUGUUUCCUGUUGACAUAGACAUGACAAUAUGAGUUUUGAAAUCCUUAGGGCUGUAGUAUAUUCUUGUUAAAGAGAGUUAAUGCGAUGAUACGAUCUGCAUUUUGUGAAAGCGAGAAAG